AACGCACAUUGCGCCCCUUGGUAUUCCAUGGGGCAUGCCUGUUCGAGCGUCAUUUGUACCCUCAAGCUUUGCUUGGUGUUGGGUGUUUGUCCUUUCCUUAGUGUUAGGACUCGCCUUAAAGUAAUUGGCAGCCGGCGUAUUGGCCUUGGAGCGUAGCACAUUUUACGCUUCUUGCUAAUAUACACUGGCGUCCAUUAAGCCUUUUUAUCACUUUUGACCUCGGAUCAGGUAGGGAUACCCGCUGAACUUAA
rnacentral:misc_RNA from 1 species